rnacentral:lncRNA from 1 species
UGCUUAUGGACCCAAAGGACCACAACCUAACCUUUUACUGAUAUUUGUACCUGUACACUGCAUAAUAUCUGAAAUAAAUGUGGAAACUGGACAUAAGGUUCAAUACAUAUGUACAUACUUAAAACUGAAAACUGAAUACUAAUACAUCAACAUCCGUUUAAAAAGCCUCUAAACUGUCUGAACUGUGGAGUUGAUGGGACAUAUCCCCAACUAACUCCGUCAACUGAAAAUAUAAAAAAAAUUUGAUGCAAUAAUAGUAAACUGAGAUUUGUCCUCAAAAGAAGAGGACUCACUACUACUGCUGCUGACUGGGACUGAACUGAUGGGGAUAUUCUAGAUCCUGUGCCUCUGAACCUAUGGUGUCAAAUAAAACACCACAGCGCAAAUGCAUCAGUACAAAAAUGUACCGAGCAUGUAGACGAGGUAAGGCUAAAUGCAAGGGCUUAUGCAUGAACAUAACUUAACUGAAUAAUAUGCAAGAGCUGGAUUAGCAUACAUAAAGAAUAUGUAAUUACUGAACAUACUGUGGAUACUGUCACUGAGCAUACUCGGAAUAACUCUGGUAACUGAUACUGAAUAUACUGAAAUUCUGAAAUUUCUGGACAUACUGAUGACUACGAGUAUCUGAAGCUUCUAAAACUGAUAGCAACCCUAGCUAAUAGGUUGUCUCCGAAUCUGCUAAUAAUAAGAAUGAUUGACUGAAACUGAGAUCAACCCUAUCUAGUAAGUAGUCUUUGAAUCUGUGGAUAAUACUACUACUUAAUAACUAAUUUUGAGAUUUGAUAACUGACUUUAAGAUCGGCCUAUGUAGUAGCGGAUCUUCAAAUUUACAGAUAAUUAUACUUGAUGGCCUAUAUCUAACAGCCUUGCAUUCUGUACACUGAACUAAGAUCUUUCUUGAAGUCUGAGACUGAUUCUGAAACAAAGACUAUGGGAAGUAGUCUUCUAACCGACAUGCCCCACCUAGCUAAGCCGGGGUCUAACCUGUGCCCCAGUUAGAAGGGUGUCAGUACCGCGCCACUGGUAAAAAUAACUUUAUUUGACCCUCAUCUAUCAGGUACUCAAACGAGAAUGGUGGAGCCCUCCUCUAAUAGGUCAAGCCACCUCAUCUACCCUUAACUAACAGGUAUGAUGUCUCAACCUAUGCUGGCUACGUAGUUCGGGAGCGCAAGGAUUGCUUCUAAGAAUCACACCCUCUAUCAGUAGGUGAGUUUCCAACCUUGAGCUCACUCAAUGUUGAAUCCUACUCCCAACUGAAAGACACUGAUUUGAUUCUUAACUGAACUUAGACUGAGCUGAAUUUGAUACUGAUCAUGUUUCUCAAGAGAUCUGACUGAGUUAUGCUAAGAUUACUUAAUUCUGUAUCUGACGAAAAAAGGUAUCGAAUCAUGGUAUCUGACUGACGAUACAGAGCUUGAAUAGAUUACUCACUUCUGAGAUUAGAAUUGAAUCAUUUGAAUACUAUUAGAUCUGAGCUAAUUAAUAGGACUGGGGCUAGAUUACUAGCGAUAUAGUGAUUACAGAGAUUUCUGAGAUUACAAAGUUUUCUUAUGUUCUGCACUUGUUUGAGGAUACAGAGUUCUGUAGUUCACUGAGUUCUGAGAAUUGUGGCUCGAUUGGAGUUAUCGUGAAACUGACAUCGGCUCUAGACAACAGCUCUAUUGUCGGGUAUAAAUAACCUCAGGACUUGAUAACAUAAAAGUGAAACAUAAUCAUGCUUGCAUCAUCACGAUCAUCCAUUCAUCAUCACAAUCAUUCGUUCAUCAACACAAGCAUUCAAGCAUUUAGGAAAUAUAGGCCUCUAUUCAUCAUCACAAUCACUAAAGGGUCGCUUUAAGCAUCUCGAAAUAAUAAUCAUAUAAUAACAUAGGAAAAAUAUGCUAUUAGAUCGUACUACAUUCAACAAGGUUUUUACCUCAACUAUUUCAUACCUAUAUCAGUCUUGACAUAUGUUUGGGUAUCACAUGGCUUAGGGAAACUUCAUACUAUCAUUUUAUAACUUACUUGCUAACCACUUGGCAUGUAUUAAAAAUUUAGCAUAUGUCAAAGGGCACAUAAUUGGGGAAUUUACUACUAUCACAUCUCCACUUGUUCACUAAGGUCCUUCAACAAAUACUAGACAUGCAAAGGUUCACACUUAUUUGGGGAUUUCACACUAUCAUGGUAUAAUUCAUUAACUAGGGAAUUUCGUGACACUCAUAGUUUUCAAAGUCUUAUACAUGGAAGGGGGUGCAUAUAACAAUAUGCCAUACGUCCAUCGACCUAGCUUCACAAACAUUUCAUCAACAACCAUAACAUAUAACAAUAUCUUAGAAGUCUUUAUUUUCAUAAGGGUAUAGCAUACAUUUGUCAUUAGAUCACAAUUUAACUACAAUGCUUGAUUUCUAGUCUCUUAGACAUUUUAUCGAACACCUCACAUGCACAAUUUAGGCAUAAGUAUAAUAACCCAACUACUCAUCAUGAACAAUUAAAUUUACAUGUUUCCAACUCAUAUAUUAUCAUAGAUUCAUACAAACCACAUAAAUAUCCCAUCUUGGAGAUUAUUCAACAUUAACAACAAGUAUAUAAUCCAUUUACCAUACAAAUACCACAUACUAAGGCCAAGACUUGAUUCUUGUAGACAAACAUGAAUCACAACACACAAGAACCAUUAAAAAUUUAUAAACAUAAAUCUUAGAGAUUUAGAAAAGGGUACUUGAGCUUCUUGGAUGAAAGGGACCUAAGAAUCAACAUCUACAUACCUUGGGGCAACUUCUUUCUUGAAGGAUCUUGGAGAGAUUCUUGAUUUCUUGACUUCUCUUGAUUUUUAUUGAAGAAUAAAUAAGGGUUUUGAUCUUGGAAAUAAACCCUAAUUUGAUGUUUUGGAUGAAAGAGAAGUUAUGAGCUUUGAUUUGGGGUGAUUGGGUAUUAAAUAGGGUGAAAAAUGACCCAAAAAUCCCUUUAAAAUGGUGCUUCAGCAAUGUCUCGAACAAUUCUGACGGUCAGAGUGACGGACCAUCACUCUGGUGACUAACCGUCACUCCCACCAUAACUUUUGGUCCAGAAAAGGCCCUCACUGCUUCAGUUUUGACGGCCAAAGUGGCGGGCCGUCACUAACUUGACGGUCCGUCAGCUUGUCUGUCACUCCUGGACAGCUCAGACAGCUCUCAGUAAAAUGGCCAUAACUUCUUACUCCAAUAUCGGUUUUUUGCGAAAUUAGUAUAGUUGGAAAGAUAAUUCAAUUAUCUAUCUGUUGAUAGGUCAUGAGAUCAAAAAUUAUUUGUAUAAUGGAAGAUAUGCUCGUUUGAAGUUGACUAUAGCAAUGUCCUUCUCAAGAAUUCAAUCGGUAAGGGAUGUUUUGAUUCGUCUAAUAGAUAGGACGUAUUUAAGGCCUUAAUACACAUCAAAAUUGAUCAUAAAACUACCAAAUCACUAAUAUUUAUUUAAUUGAAUCAUGGUUCAGAUUGAUGAGACUCGAGGGGGUAUAAAUGACAAAUUAGAGAUGUGGAGGCAAACUCUUGAGUCUAAAGGGUUCAGGGUGAGCAGAAGCAAGACAGAGUAUGUGGAAUGUAAGUUUAAUGACGUGAGGCGAGAGAAUGAGGUAGUAGUGAAGCUGGAAGCACAGGAGGUAUGUAAGAGGGAUAAGUUCAAGUAUCUCGGGUCCGUGAUCCAGAGUAACGGUGAGAUUGACGAGGAUGUCUCGCACCGUAUUGGGGCGGGAUGGAUGAAGUGGAAACUCGCAUCGGGGGUGCUGUGUGAUAAGAAGGUGCCGCCCAAGCUUAAAGGCAAAUUCUAUAGGGUGGUAGUCCGUCCGGCCUUGCUGUAUGGAGCGGAGUGUUGGCCAGUUAAGAACUCCCACAUCCAAAAAAUGAAGGUGGCAGAAAUGCGGAUGUUGCGCUGGAUGUGUGGACUGACUCGAGGGGAUAGAGUUCGGAAUGAGACUAUCCGGGAGAAGGUUGGUGUGACUUCAGUGGAGUGUAAGAUGCGGGAAGCACGAUUGAGAUGGUUCGGACACGUGAAGAGGAGGGGCAUGGAUGCCCCGGUCCGUAGGUGUGAGAGGCUAGCGUUGGAUGGAGGCGAAUUACGGCAGAAGAGUAGGGCCAGAUUGGGUCGCUAGGGUAGGGAAUUACUUGGUGGGGUUUUUUUAUUUUUUUAUUCCUGUUAUGAUUCCGUAUUCAGUGUUCCAUGCUUAUUACGAAUCUGUGUGCUUUCCUCUGCUUUCCUCUGUUUUAUAGUCCGUAUGGGUGCCUUAUUUAUAUUAUUGUCAUCUGCUUCUGUGCUUUACUAUGUGUUUGUGUGAUAUCUUGUGCCUGAGCCGGGGGUCUUUCGGAAACAGCCUUUCUACUUCAUCAGAGGUAGAGGUAUGGACUGCGUACAUCUUACCCCCCCCAGACCCCACUAAGUGGGAAUACACUGGGUUUGUUGUUGUUGUUGUUGUUGAAUCAUGGUUCUACUAUCGGUUGGGAUUCGGUAUUACAAUAAGAUAGAAGGAAAUGGGAAACUCUGACUCAAAGAUCUCACCCUAUCUCUGGAAUCCAACACAACAUGAGCCAUGAAUCAAUGGUAGAAACUAGUACUUGGAUCUUUACCAAAAAGGUACAAAUGUGUAGUAUGAGUAUCAAAACCAUAGGUACUCUGUAGGUAUUAUCGAUCGAUUAGGAUAAAUCAUGAUAUGAAUAUAAUAAAAUUCAAGAUAACAUAAAUAAGUCAAGGUAGAGGAAAACCUAAAUCAACUCCAACAUCACUGUACAUGAAUAAGUGUAACGCCCCAAUUUUCGAAAACUAGAACGUCACACGGUGCUCAUGAUCCCGAAGGACCACAAGCUAACCCUUUUCUGAUAUUUGUACCUGAGCGCUGCAUAAUAUACUGAAAUAAAUACGAAAAACUGGCGGAAUCUUGCCAUAAGCUUCAAAAUAUCUAAAAUACUCAAAACUAAAAACUGAAUACUGAUAUAUUUGUUCGAAAAGCCUCUAAACUGUCUGAACUAUAGAGUUGAUGGGACAUGUCUCCAACUAACUCUAUCUACUAAAAAUAAACUAAGUCUAAUGCCAUAAUAAAAUAAGGAUCAUCCUCAAAUGAUGAGGACUCACUGCUAAGUCAACUGCUACUGGCUGAGUCUGGACUGCUAAGGGUGCCUUAGCUCUCGCUCUUCUUAACCUAUGGUAUAAGACACCAUAGCGCAAGAGAAAAGUAUGCGCCAGUACUUUAAAUGUACUAGUAUGCUAGAUGAGGUAAGGCUAAAUGCAAGGGCUUAUGCAUGAACAUAACAUAACUGAAUAACAUGAGAGUAUUGAAUGAGGAUACAUGUAUGGACUGAAUACUACCUUCUGAAUACUUGAAAAUUUUCACAACUGAGUUUACUAAUACUGAUAUCUAUAUUACUAAUAUCGACUGAUUGAAACUGAGAUCAAACCUAUCUAGUGGAUGAUCUUCAAAUCUCAUAAUAAUGAUAAGGAAUGAUUGAAUCUGAGUUUGAGAUCAGGCCUAUCUAGUGGGCGAUCUCUGAAUUGAUUAAUACUGAUACUGGUUAACUUCAUGUGAGACCAGGACUUUCUAGCGGGUGAUCUAUGAAUCUAUGGAACUAUCUAAGUUCCUUACUGAGCUGAAUGACCGUAUCUGACAGUCCUAAUUUCUGAGUGCUACUAUAAUGACUGAGACUGAACUGUAACUGUGGGAGUUCUCACUUAACCGACAUUCCCCAAAUCUAAACUAGUGGGGUCCAACCUACUACCAAAAUUGGAAGGGUGUCAGUACAGUGUCACGGGUGUAGACACUACUAUGGUCAAGCCUCUCUAACAGGUGACCCUGAACAGGAAGUCAAGCCUAAGGAAACGGGUGACCCCUAGAAGGUAGUCAAUCCUUAAUCUAGCGGGUGAAUCUUGUUCCUGCGCUGGCUACGCAGUUUUAGAGUACAGAGAUUGCUACUAAUGGCUCCACCUCUCUAACGGGAAAGUCGUCAUCCCUUCACUCACUCUGUGCUAGUUCUUACUCCCAACUGAAAGAAUCUGAACUGAUUCUUAACUGAACUUAGAUGAAGCUAAAUUCGUUAUUGGCUAUAUUAAUUGACUGAUCUGAUUGAGUUUGCUUGGUUCCGUUAUCUGAUGGAAUGCUGCUUGGAUUCUACUAUCUGACUGAAUGCUACUGAAUUCUGGUUAGCUUACUGAGUUUUACUGAAGCCUGAACUGAAUACUAUUGAACCAAAACUGAAUACUGAGUUGGAUUAGACUGAUACUGAGACUGAAUUGCACUAAUUUUGAGAUUACUGAAUUUCCUUACGUUCUGUAACUGUCUGAAUUCUACUGAUCAUGGCUUGAUUGAGAGUAUCUUGACACUGACACUGGCUCUAGAUUUGCAGCUAAUUUGUUGGGUAUAAAUACCCCCAGGACUCGAUAACGUAAAAGUUAAACAUAAUCAUUCUUGAAUAACCAUGACAAUGGACUUUCACUUACUAUUACAAUCACUAAAACAUCUCUUCAAGCACCUGGGAAUCUUAAAACGUGUAAAGGUAUAGGGAUGCAUACUAAUUUCUCAUAACUAAGGCAUUUCAACAAAUGCUUGGCAUACAUGAAUUUAUACACAAUUUGGGGAUUUCUUGUCAACAUGCUAUAAUGACCCUAUUUCCUUUACACAAGCAUUUUAUCAAACAUAUGGAGAGCAUGCUUUGGUUAUACAACAAAUACUACAACUAAGUAUCAUGAUUUCAUCAACCAACAUGCAACUUGAAGAGGGUUUAUCAUGAAUAUUACACAAUUAAUCACAUGCUAGAAUCAAUUGUUAAUACCUGUAGUCUAAAUCAUGAAUUAAAUCUCAACAACACAUUGACAGUGAACCCGGCAUUCCUUGUGAGAUUCGACAUCCAACCUAGUUUGGUUUCUAUAUUUGACAGCAAUCGCUUCCUCUCUCAUAAGAGAGUUGUAAUUUGGGUGUAUCAAAUUUUGGCGCCAUUGCCAGGGAAUACAGUUGUAAAUUAAGUUUGUGUUGUUAAUUGACCUUUGGUCAAGUUUUCCAAAUUUUACUUUUGUUAUUUUUUUUGUGCAGGGGAAUUGUUGUGUAUGCCAAGUACAUGGAGAUCGGGUGCACCGUUAUUACCAAUACAUCCGGAAUCACAAUUUGAUGGUAGAAUGGUAGAACCCCAAGAUGCUGAAAGACUAGCUGCAUUGGCUAGAGCUCAACUAAAUCGGCAGAAUGAUAGCCAGCAGGCACGUUAUCCUAACCCUAACGAUGAUGAUUUAGGGGAUAAUGACUUGUUAGAUCCUACUAAUUAAAAGCGUGUAGAGAAUGCAGCUGCACCAGUGAACAUAAAUAUAAACAGAAAUCAUCCUUUUAGGGAGAGACCUGAUUGUCAAGAUGUUCAAUUUGAUCUUAAUGAUGAUAAAGAUGGAAUGGACGGAGCUGGUGCCACUGGAGCUAGAAGCAAAGUUCAAUAUUACUAGUACAAUGAUCCAACUCCUUCACCUAAAGGGGUUGUUGGGUGGACUCCCGGGAGAUGAUCCCAAUAUGCAUUUAGUGAAUUGUCACUAUUUUCAAGUCCUUUGAUAACCCGGGAGUGUGACAGAAUGCCAUCCGUCCAUGUUUAUUUCUAUUAUCUCUAUUUGGGGAGGCAACAUUAUGGCUUAAUGAGCUGACGCCCGAUUCCAUUACCAUCUGGAGGCAAUUGAAAGAGGCUUUCCUAGAAUGGUUCUUUCGUCCUUCCAGAAGGGUACAGUUAUGGGACGAGAUCAACAACUUUAGGAAGCUCCUAACUGAAGCCCAUCAUGAGACAUGGGAGAGGUUUAAAAAAAGUUGACGCAGUGUUCGAACCAAAAUAUGAUAGAUAUUCAACUGAUGGAGACUCUUUAUUGGGCUUUGAACUCUAUUACGAAGACAGUUAUUGAUAAUGCUGCAGGGGGAUCAUUUGUGGAUCUUACUUUUUAGGAGGCCUCGGAGAUGUUUAAUCAGAUAACCAAACAAAGUAGAGCUUGGUAUACAAGGGAUUUUGUGGUAGCAAGCCCUACUACGUCUGUUGGCAUGACUGUAGAACAACAUAAGAAAGAGGAAGGACAUAAUCAAGACAUGGCACACUUGAAGACGCAGAUGGAUCUGUUGACCAAGCAUCUAUUAUCUGCAAAAACCGAAAAAGUGAAGGCUAUUUCAGCUAAAGGUAGAGAUAAUUCUAAUUCAGAAGAAGAGGCUAACUAUUUGAAUAAUCGGGGGGUUUUUGAGCCAAUAGCCAAGGAAAUCAAGGUCGGAAUUACUACGACAAGGCUAGUUAUAAGGAUAGGGAGCAAGGAAAUUGUAAUAAUAAGAAUGAUAGAAGUGGACUAUAUGUACCUCUCAGAAGUAGAGAUAGUGCUACAACUAGCUCUGGCAAGAUGUUCAUGGAGGACAUAAUGGAGAAAUUAUUAAAGAAAGUUAAAGCUACCAACUCUAGAGUGACUAACAUGAAGAGUGAUUUAUCUUCUAUGAGUUAGUUGGUGAACUCACACUCUACCUCUAUCAAGUAGUUGGAGCAACAAAUGAGCCAGCUCUCGACAACUUUGAAUCAGAGGAAGAUUUGAAAAUUGCCAAGUGACCCCAUUCAAAACCCACGAAAUGAUGGCUCUUGCAUGGCUAUCACUACUAGAAGUGGUAAGGUAUUGGUAGGCCCUCUUGUGGGUAAGCUUUCGGUUGAUAUUAUAGCCAAUGAUAUUGAAAAAACAGAGAUUUAUUAUCCAGUGGAGUCUGAGAAAUUGGAUAAGGUUAUUGAUAACACACCAUCCAAUAGUCAGCAGGUUGAUGAGUUGAAAAAGAAUAAGGGAAAGGAGACUGAAGUAGUGGUUACCACUCUUCUAAAGCCACCUCCUUUAUUUUCUCAUCGAUUGAAGAAGAAAGUCGAUGACACAAAGUUCAACAAAUUUAUGGCUAUGUUGAAGCAGUUGAUGAUUAAUCUACCACUGGUGGAGGCAUUAGAGCAAAUGACCGGGUACACAAAGUUCAUGAAAGACCUCAUCAUUAAGAAGCGGUCGGUUAGUUUUGAGUCGAUGGACAAUUUGUAUCAUUGUGGUGCUAUUUCCACAAGGUCUCUAGUGCAGAAAAUGGCAGAUCCAGGAGCAUUUACUAUCCCAUGCACUAUUGGACCUCUUAACUUUGCAAAAGCUCUAUGUGACCUGGGAGCUAGCAUCAAAUCUGAUGCCGCUAGCUGUUUAUAAAAGGUUGGGUUUGAGAGAUCCCACACCCACUAAUAUACGACUUAUGAUGGAGGAUAGGUCGAUCAAAUGACCUGUUGGUAUUUUGUAUGAUGUGUUGGUGAAGGUUGCUAGUUUCAUAUUUCCUGUGGAUUUCGUUAUUCUGGAUUGCGAGGUAGAUUUUGAGGUGCCCAUAAUCUUGGGUCGACCUUUUCUCACAACUGGAAAUAUGCUGAUUGAUUUGCGAGCUAAUGAGCUCUUAUUCAGGCUGAAUGAUAAAAUGGUGUGAUUUGAUGUGUGCUAAUCAAUGAAGCAGCAGAAAGAAAUAAAUGUGUUUUCAAUUGUAGAUGUCUAUUAUGAGAAGGAGCAGGAAGUGCCGAUAGAAGAGAAAUUUACUGUUGAAACCUUGGCUUCAGUGUUGAUGAAUUUUGAUCAGGAUGGUAAGAAGAUUAUGAGAAGACUAUUUGUGCCUUAACAGGCAUGGGGUCUUACUCAUAUGCCCCCAAGAAUUUGGAAUUGGACUUAGAAAAUCGUCCUAGUCUACCUGCUAAGCCCUCUAUAGAAGAACCACCUGUCUUGGAGCUGAAAAAAUUACCCAGUCAUUUAAGGUAUGUGUUCCUGGGCAGAGGGAAUACAAUACCUAUUAUUAUUGCAUCUGACCUGGGUGAGCAGCAGGUGGAAGCACUAAUUUCAGUGCUUCAAAGAUACAAAAGAGCAAUAGGCUGGACUAUUGCUAAUAUUAUUGGCAUUCCUCCCGGUAUCUGCACUCAUAAAAUUCAACUUGAGGAAGAAUGUACUCUUACCAUUGAGCAUCAACGCCGACCUAACCCACCAAUGAAAGAGGUGAUUAAGAAGGAAAUUAUUAAGUGGCUAGAUGCAGGAGUGGUUUAUCCUAUUUUUGAUAAUUAAUAGGUGAGCUCGGAUUAAUGUGUGCCCAAGAAAGGGGGCAUGACUGUUCUUGCAAAUAAAAAGAAUGAGUUGAUUCCUCUCAGGACUGUGACUGGUUGGAGAGUUUUCAUGGACUAUCGCAAGCUAAACUCAUGGACUUUAAAGGACCACUUCCUAAUGCCCUUCAUGGAUCAAAUGCUUGAUCGGUUGGCGGGAAGGGGGCGGUAUUGCUUCCUGGAUGGAUAUUCUAGCUACAAUCAAAUAUGUAUUGCUCCUGAAGAUCAGGAGAAGACAACGUUUACAUGUACAUUGGCACUUUUGCAUGAAAUCGGAUGCCGUUUAGAUUAUGUAAUGCACUCGCUACCUUUUAAAGGUGUAUGUUGUCUAUUUUCUCGGAUAUGGUUGAGGACACCUUGGAGGUAUUCAUGGAUGAUUUUUCUAUGGUAGGAGAUUCAUUUGGGCUAUGUAUGGAGAACUUCAGUAAGGCUUUGCAGAGGUGUGUGGAAUUCAAUCUUGUGCUUAAUUAGGAGAAAUGUCAUUUCAUGGUGAAAGAGGGCAUUGUUCUCGGGCACAAAAUUUUAGCAAAAAGGAUAGAGGUUGAUUGAGCCAAGGUAGAGGUUAUUAAGAAGCUACCACCUCCCAUUUCAGUGAAAAGGGUGCAUAGUUUCCUUGGACAUGCUGGCUUUUACUGGAGGUUUAUUCAAGACUUCUCUAAAAUUGUAAAUCCACUUUGCAAACUUUUAGAGAAGGAGACUAAGUUCUUUUUUGACGCUGAUUGCAUUAAGGCAUUUGAAUACCUUAAGAUGAAGCUGGUUGAGGCCCCUAUCAUUGUUGCACCUGAUUGGUCAAAACCAUUUGAGAUAAUGUGUGAUGCAAGCGGUGUUGCCCUCGGAGUUGUGUUCGGGCAAAAGAAGGACAAAUUAUUUCAUCUAGUUUAUUAUGCCAGCAAAGCACUGAAUGGAGGUUAGAAAAACUACACUGUCAAAGACAAAGAACUUCAAGCAGUGGUGUAUGCCUUUGAGAAGUUUCGAGCAUAUCUGCUAAGUACCAAGGUAGUGGUACACACUAACCACUCUGCCUUAAGGUACCUAAUGGCGAAGAAGGAUGUUAAACCAAGGUUGAUCCGAUGGGUAUUACUACUUCAGGAAUUUGACUUCGAGGUUAAGGAUCGCAAGGGAUGUGAGAAUUAAGUGGCUGAUCACUUAUCCAGACUCGAAAGCGAGCAAGCAGUAAAAGACGGGAUUGAGAUUGAUGAUUCCUUUCCUAAUCAGAAAGUAUUGGCUGCAGUGUUCAAAAAAGUCCCUUAGUAUGCUGACUUCGCGAAUUAUAUGGUAAGUGAGAUGGUACAAAAAAAUCUUUCCUUUCAUCAAAGGAAAAAGUUUCUUUAUGAUGUGACCCAUUACUUUUGGGAUGAGCCGUAUCUUAUUCGGUGAUGUGCAAAUGGUAUUAUUAGACGGUGUGUCCUAGAAGUAGAAAUGAUGAGUGUAUUGGAAGUAAGCCAUGCUUCCCUAGUUGGAGGUCACCAUGCAGGAUAUCGGACUGCAAGGAAAGUACUUUAGAGUGGCUACUAUUGGCCAAGUUUGUUCAAGGAUGCUUAUGAGUUCAUGAAGAGAUGUGACUAAUGUCAAAGGCAAGGGACCAUCUCAAAGCACCAUGAGAUGCCAAUGUCUAAAAUGCUGGAGGUAGAAUUAUUUGAUGUAUGGGCCAUAGAUUUCAUGGGGCACUUUGUGAGCUCAUUUGGAAUGAAGUACAUACUUGUUGCUAUUGACUGCGUGUCAAAAUAGGUUGAGGCUGUAGCUCUGGCGGAUAAUGAAGGAAAGCGGGUUAUUGCAUUUUUAAAGAGAAAUAUCUUCUCUCGCUUUAGGGUACCACGUACCAUUAUAAGUGAUGGAGGAUCACACUUCUGCAACAAGAUAUUCAGAGCUUCCUUGGCAAAGUAUGGAGUUAAGCAGCAUAAGGUAGCUAUGUCGUAUCACCCGCAAACAAGUGGGCAAGUGGAAAUCUCCAAUCGGGAAAUCAAGGCUAUCCUUACCAAGACUGUGAAUGCUAUCAGGAAGGAUUGGUCUAGGAAGCUGGACGAUGCAUUAUGGUCAUAUCAAAUAGCUUUCAAGAUACCUAUUGGCAUGUCGCCAUACCAAUUGGUUUAUGGCAAGACAUGCCAUUUGCAGAUUGAACUAGAGUAUAAAGCAAUGUGGGCGCUGAAGCGUCUGAAGAUGAACUGGAAUGAGGCAGCAUAUAUGAGACUGGGUAGCUUAAUGAGAGGGAUGAGUUCCAUCUCAGAGCGUAUGAAAUAGCUGACCUAUACAAGGAAUGAAUGAAAAAAUACCAUGAUCGCAGAAUUGAAAAGAGAGAAUUUCAGAAAGGUGACUUAGUGCUUCCAUUCAACUUCAGGCUCAAACUGUUCCCAGGUAAACUUAAGUCCAAGUGUUCAGUCCCAUUUAAAGUUAGUCAAGUUUACUCAUCUGUAGUUGAACUUGAAACUAAAGAUAGAAGUGUCUUCAAAGUUAACGGGCAACGAGUCAAACUUUAUAUCGGUCCAAAGGACUCUAUAAAAAGCAUCGCUACUUUCUAUCUCGAUGAAGUCUGAGUAAUCGAGAUAACUAACUCGUGCCACGAUGAUAAAUCAGGCGCUAGUGGGAGGCAACCCACAUUGAGUUGUUGUAUAGCAUUUAUUUAAGUUAUUUAGUUGUUUGUUUUGUUGAUUUAUGCAAGCUGAAGGGUUGUGGAAAUGUGCAGGUACAACAAUGCAGAGUAAACAGAAGCUAAAGGAAUUUUGCGUGACCGACGUAUCACCCGAUGAACCGUCGCAAGCUCGACGGACCAUCGCGAUAAUCAUUGCAACUACGCCCAGAAACCAAGAAUCUAGAAAAGUAGCGAUGGAAUUAUCCGACGAACCGUCGCAUGCUCGACUGACCAUCGUUUGAACUAUUGUAGGUUGGCCCCAAGGUUAGUUCACUGGAUAGUUAUGACUGGAUGUCCGACGGACCAUCGCGUACUCGACGGACCAUCGAUUUCACCAGUGCACUUAACCCUAGUUAUGCGGGUCGAGUUAGAUAAGUUUAAAUAGCUGAAAUUUUUAUUCUUAUUUGAUCCGAAUAGUUUGAAAUUGAUAAUUUGAAGAGUUAAGUAACUCCCACCUGUUCAAUGCACCUGUGCCUUUUCAUUCUCCCUUCUAACUUCUCAAUUCCCUUUUUUCCCUUUCUAUUUAAACGCUACUCCCCCCUUUUUCAUUUCUCAUCACAAGUGAUAAGUUCACUUCACUAAAUCAAAUCUUCAUCCAACUGUUUGAAAUAUAUUGUGCAAGACUAAGUAGUAAUUCAAUACUACAGUAAUUAGGUAUAAUUCUCCUUUCCUUUUCUUCAAUAUGAUGAGAAAUCAAAUAGGUGAAAACAACCCGGUUCAUCAAAGUCAUUUCUUGUCCAAAUUUUGUUAGUAUGUUGUUGGUGUUAGUCGAAGCAUUGCAUAUACUGUCCUAGGGGAAGUCUGAUUAACCCAUGGACCAACAAUGGCAAGUUAGGGUGAGGUAUUAUUGAUCAAAAUAUUGUAAAAAUCACCCUUAAAUAAGCUGCACACAAGGUGUUUGACAAAAUGCCGAAAUAAAAGUUGCAUCUGCCAGUUACAGUCGAUGACAUACUCGACGGACCAUCGCAUAAUCGAUGGACCGUUGCAUUGGAUCGUCCCACAUGUUGUAGAAAAAGAGCUACUAGAACGAUCCCGAUGGUUGGGGUCGAUGGACCGUUGCAUAGUCGAUGGACCGUCGCCUUUAACCAUCAUUGGUCAGAAAAAUUUCUUUUCUCUAGUUUAAAACUGUAUAUUGAUAAAUGCUACAUUUGUAGGUAUCAUGGCUCCCAAAUUACCAUAAAUCAAAGGCCGAGGUAGAGGCCAAACAGCCCGAUCUGAUGCACCAGCCCAUAACACUCGACGAAGUCAACGAGUGGUUUCUUCAUCCUCCUCGUCUGACGAGAUGGUGGAAUGUAGCAACAGUAGUACCUCCAUUUCAAUUCCACUCACGAUGGGGGUUGAAACUUCUAACCCCGCCAAGAAAAGAUCCCAGAACAAGAGGAUCGUAAUGUGAUUUGACGCAAAGAUCAGCAACUAAAGGAAGCCAUAAGAUGGCAAGUAACGGGUGCCCGUGACUUUUCUAUAAAGGGAUGGCACCAACGGAUAGGUUACUUAUCAAAAGGAUAAUUUUUUAGGAGCACCAGAUCAUCACAACAACCCUGUAUGAGUAUCCAGAACUUGAGCGCCGUUUCAAUGUAUAUGAGUUGGCCUGGAUGAGCAAGCCGCUUGGACCUUACCAAUCAAACUUGGUUCGUGAAUUUUUGCCAACUAUUUGGCAUUGCUAGAGAAGGACUGCCCAAAAGGUUCAUCGGCUACCGAUAUGAACAAACUUCACACGGUUCCCGUGAGAGGAGCCGAAAUUGACAUUUCAGAGAGAACUUUGAACAAAUUUCUCUUUGGUCCUGACUAUCAAAUACCAGGGGUUAUUUCGGAGUUGGAGCAUCAGAUAUUUUCAUGGGCUGAACAAAGGCCAUGGUUAGCCAGGAUACUAACAGAUGGGGCAAGCCUGCAUGGUUGCUUGACCCCCAUGAAAAAAUAUCAAAGAAAUCACUAAGUUUCAGGGCCAAGUUCUGGUGGGCGAUUGUGCGAUUGAAGCUUAUUCCAAUAGGCGGUGAUGAUCAUUUAGAGAGCACCAGAGUUGUGAUUGUUGCCGCUUUGAUAGAAGGGUUGACCGAAGAUUUUGGGCACAUCAUUUUUGAUGAGUUGUUUUUUCGUGCUCACAAGACUCACACUGCACUGCCAUUUCCAUACCUUACAUUGAGUUGUGCAUAAAGGCCAAAGUUCCUUUGAUCAGUAGAGUAGACAACAAGAUCCCAGCACUGCACAAACAGAACAUUGAAAAAAUAAAGGAUGACUCGAGAUUUGAUUUGUGAAUCAAAAGACCUCCAGCCCAACAAAUGCAGUCAGCAUCGGUGCCCAAACUAUCAUAAUUUCCUACAAGUAUGCCAUUGCCUUUGACUAUAUAUAUGCCUCGUAUCACCUCUACAUGUUCAGCUUCUUUGCCGACGGGUGGGACCCCAGAAUCUGCGUCUGUCCCACCCCAAACUUCUGAGUACAGGCUGAACCCUGAUAACUUUGCAAAAACUGUGUGAACCAUCAAAAAGGUCGAAAAGCAGAUAAUAAUUUGGGGGAAAAAUUUCAAACCCUUUGUGGAGAAAAUUGUGGAGGAUGCAUUGCGCCCCUUCUGAAACGUCCAGCUACACAUGGAUAAUAUAGAAGAGCGCAUAAACAAAAAGUUGGAUGAAAUGUUCAUUCCUGAUUUUUCUAAAGUAAUUGAGGAGGUUAGACGGCUUCGGGUAGAUGUCGAUAAGAUAAGUCAGCAGCCAUAGCAGACAACAUUAAUCCAGUCUAGGUUGAUAGUGAUGAGGACAAAGGUCUUAUGGACUUAUAUGGGUGUCCAAUCAACGAUAAAGGUAAGAAGGUAGUAGAAUCAGACAAGAAGACUGAAAAAGCUCCUAACAAAGAAGAGAAAAAGUGAAGACUGGCAACCAUGUCACCUGAAUAAUUCAAAGAUUACCAGAUGUAGAGGGUAGUAAAAAAGUCAAGGAGAGAGGUAGAGAAGCUGGAAAAAAGGUUUCAAGACAAAGCAGCUAGAGUAUCCACUAGUUCGGCCCCAAUCAGGGGGCAAAUUUCAAACCCUGUCAGAAAUGUGCUACCUCCGACUCUGGAGGGAGAGAUUUUAAGUACUCCCACCGCCAUGGGAGUCAACAUUGCACCUGGUGAGGAUGCUAGUGCCUCCCCACACUUCACUGAAGCCUCAGAUUGAAUAAGUGUCGCAAUAAGUAUUUUCCCAUCCUUUGUACUUAAAAUUUUAUGCAUUUGAGGACAAAGAAUUUUUUUUAGUGUGGGGUGGGUGUGCUUGUUGGGGGGUUGUGUUGCUUAUAUUAUCGGCGUGUCUAAGUGUUAAUUUUUCAUUUUCAUGUUCUGUUUGUUGAAUUUUCAGUUUCAUGUUUGGUUGGUGAUAUGGUUGCAUGAAAUAAAAGUUCCAUUCCUAUUGAUACCUUAUUGUACAUAUGUGGAUGAUAACUGCUGGUGGCAAAAAUUGUGUUUUUUAUUUUUCGUAUAAUUAAUUCCUCUUACCAAGUGGCAAAGUGUUGUGCAACCAUGUGCGACUCUGUUAAUAGCAUUAGAAGUUAGUAAUAAAGAAAGGACUAGCUAUGUGAUCGGGAUCCCAAAAAUUAGUAGAAUGGAAAUUAACUCAGUGCAUGUGUGGGUGAGUGUUUGUGUAGUUCUUACAUAAGUGUUACACCUAGAACUUGCCCGAUUUAUCAGAUGUUGUCCUGUGUUUUGACUUAAUAAGAGAGGAUAGUAGGCCUUCUUGUAUUAUUAGUCCACUUAGCCAAAUGAUUGACCCACCAAAAACAUUGUGCUCCAUUUGUCAACCCUUUUGAGCUGUGGUAGUGUUUUUUUGUCCAAAUAAGUUUGAUUCACUCUCUAAAAGGUGUUAAGUAUUUAGCUUUGGCCUUGGUACAAUUGUGGACUUUGUACACUUUAACUUAGGCAAAUUGCCUAAGUUGAGGGUGGCUACUGUUGGUUUAUUAGUAGCCUAGGAGGUUGAGUUGAAAGUAAUGUGAAGAGUAGCAUCCGACCCUGGUCUAGUUAGCAAUCUAAAUAGAUAUUGUGCACCUUAAUAUUCUGCAUCAGCAUAAUUUGAGGGUGGCUGAUGUUGUGUCUCUAAAAAAAAAAUAGGUUAUGACAUGAGCGCUGAAGAAUAACUGUGAUUGAAUGAGAGGGUCCUUAAUUCUGGUAAGUAACUACCACAGAGGGUAAAGAGAGUGAAAUUCUUAUACUUUAAGUCACUUACCUAAUUAAAUAACCUUCACUGAGUCUAAAACCUUGUUACAACCCUUAGCAAGUCCUACUUGAUUUUAGCGAGUCAAUCAUAAGAGAACAUUAGAUGAUAAGGGUAAGUUUAUAUGUGUACACUGUGUUGGCAACUUCUUUUCAAAGAGUGAGAAGCUUAGUUUUGUCCAUAAUUUAACUGUGUGAUAUGAGGUGGACUUCUUUGGCUGAGAGGGCAUGUUGAGUUAUAUCUGUUCUAUUUAGUUCUUUGGGGUGUCGUAUCUGUAGCUAUAAAUGUGCUGAUUAGUAGUUAAUGCCAAUAGUGGAUCCAUGUGUGUUGAAAUGGCAUAACCAAAUGGGUAGUGGAAUGAUUGUAUGAUUGUGUUGGUUUUACUAUGAACUACUCAUCAUGAUGUUAUUCACAUAUGUAUCCCGAUGUUGAGUUGCUUGAGGACAAGCAAUUACCACAACUUAAGUGUUUGAUGUUUCAGGUUUUGACGAAAUAUUUUAGGCCUUUUCCUUAGGAUAAUUGUGUGUUUUCAAGCAACCAUAGUUGUAUUUAACAUGGUAUUUUUAGUGUUUUUAGGAUAAGGACUGAGUGUGAAGGACAACUUGGACAAUCUGAGCAAAACACAGGCAAUUUUAGCAGUGAUGGUUCAUGCAAUGCACCGUCGACCUUGCGACGAUCUGUCGGUCUAAGCCAUCGACAAAAAGCAAAAGGCAUAGACUAUGAAUAGCCUGCGACGGUCCAGACAAUCAGCAUGAAACGUUACCAUAAUAUAGAAGGCAGAAUCAUUGGAAGUCCUACAACGAUGCAGGCGAUCAACCGUCGACCUUGCAACUGGCCGUCGCACUACCCAUCGUCCAGAAGCAGAACAUGGAGUCACUGGACACCCUACGAUGAUGCAGGUAAUGGAACGUCGGACAUGCGAUGGACCGUCUCUUGACCCAUCGCCCAGAAUCAGAACAUGGAGUCACUGGACACCUUGUGAUGAUGCAGGCGAUGAACUGUUAGAUCUGCGAUAGAUUGCUUGACCCGUUGACCAAAACAUGGAGAAUCUAAGUUUGAAUUUUAAAAUCCUAGUUCUGGAAUCAUAUAAAUACCAAGUAUUAGGGUUUAUUCCGUAUCUUUUGUCUCCAAUUUCAUACUUUCUCCUCUAUUGAGAGCUUUGUACUACUUUUCAUUGAGAUUUGAAUCUAGAGAUUUAGAGGUGAUUAUUAGUUUCAUAUUUUCCAUCAAAGAUUGAGAAGAUCAAUAUUGUGACUUUUGUAAGUACAUUUCUGAAUUUAUUUAUGAACAUCAAUAUAACUUUGAUUUUUGACAUGGAGAUGAGUAGCUAAACUCCUAUAACUAGGGUUAUGGGAGCCUUGAUGUAGAGAACUACUUUGGAGUUUGUGAAAGGGUUUGUUUUUUAAUAUCUAUCGAAAUUGCAUGAAUCUUUCUUUAUUUUAGUGACAUCUCUUGGUUGCAAACUUGAGAAGUGAGCCCAUGGACUCCACUUGUCUGACAAGAAAGUUGAUGUUGGGAAAAGAAGUGACUCACAUGAACUCCAUAGGUUUACCCUUUAGGAAUAACAGAUUGAUGCCUUAACAGGAUCAACCCUCAUGAGAUUUUUAUUGAAUAAUACAUGAAACCUUUAAGUUUGAGAGAAGUAAAGGGUGAAAUACUCAUUAGGUUGAGAAAUAUAUGGGUAAUCUUUGGAAUUCAAUAAUUCUUGCAAAUUGGAUACAUAAGUUAGAAUUCAAACACAACCUCACAACCCUAAUUGUUUGAACAUCUGGGUGAGCAUAACUCUAGUUAAUUCAUUCUCAUUGGAAUUACAUCUACAUUCACUCUCAGUAGCUGGACUUUUGUGUAACACAAAUACAAAAGAGCACUAUUAACAUUUCCAAACCCCCUUUUAUUUCGGAGCCUUAGAUCAACAGUCUAGUAACAAUCACAAUACUUAAUGAACACGGUAUUCCCUGUGGGAUUCGACACCCAACCCAAUUGGGUUUCUAUAUUUGACAAUGACCGCUUACUCUUUCGUGUGAAAGUUAUAAUUUGGGCAUAUCGGUGUCCCUUCUUUGAGUGUUUAUGUCCUGAUAAAGAGCAUAUAAUCUAUGCAAACUCUUUUUCUAAAUUACCCUUUAUUCCAUUUACAGACUAUGCCUCCCAAAACAAACAACAGAAGGAAAAAUAGAGGUCAGCCCACAUCGCCUAUUCAGAAAGAUCCCUUGAAUAAUCAUAUCUCCCACGCUGAAUUCAGGGUUACUUUCACUACCUUAUCCUAUUCAGUGGUUGCUCAGAACAACCAAUAAGAUAUUUUUCUUGCCAAUCCAAUGGUAAAUACGGCUGCAGUUAGGAUUCGGGAUUUCACUCGGAUGAAUCCCCCUCUAUUUUUGGGAUCCAAGUUUGAGGAGGAUCCGCAGGAGUUUAUAGAUAUGGUGCAGAAGGUGACUAAUAUUAUGGGCAUAACUUUGAGUAAGAAUGUACAGUUGGUUGUGUAUCAAUUGCAGGAUGUACCUCACACCUGGUUUAGGUAGUGGAAGGAGGACUGUGGUGUUGAGGCAGAGCCUGUAGAGUGGGAAGAGUUUGCCAUGAUAUUUUUAGAUAGGUUCUUUCCCUUAGAUUUGAGGGAAGCUAAGGUGAAUGAGUUUAUUAAUUUAAACUAGGGUAAUAUGAGCAUAAAUAAAUACUUGCUUAAGUUUACUUAGUUUAUGAGGAAUGUUCCUUCGAUGGUGGAUGAUAAUAGGUCUAGAAUGAGUAAGUUUGUGUUUGGUGUAGCUAAUAGUAUGGUUAAGGAGUGUCGGACUGCCAUGCUGAUUAAGAAGAUGGACUUAUCUAGACUCAUGGUUCAUGCUUAAUAGAUUGAGGAGAAAAAUCUUAAGGAGAGAGAGAGAGGGAGAAUAAGAGGGACAAAACUAGUCGUUUCAACUUUUCUCAGUCAAAUCUAGAAGGUGGUAACCAUUUUUAGUUCUGCCAGAAAUUUUAAGCCUCAGCUCCAACUUUAGCUAGUGCGUUAGUGCCUAAGUUCAGGCAAGAUAAUUGGAUCAAAGCGCCAGGCUCUAAGUCCUAGGGUACUGUAAAUAAUGGUCGUACUAAUUUACUCUAUGGGAAGCGUGGUAGGAAUCAUCAGGGUGUGUGUAAGACUGGUAGUGAUGUGUGUUUGGAUGUGGCAAUCAAGGCCAUAGGAUCUAAGAGUGUAUGAUGGUUGCGUAGAGGGGAAAAAGUGAUCACCAGCAGGGCUAGACAACUUCUUUUGUAGCUCCAGCAUGUCUCUCGACUCAGUAGGGUGCUACUUCUAGUGCUACUAGUGGGAAAUACCAGAAUAGAUUGUAUGCUCUCCAGACUUGGCAUGAUCAAAAGAGUUCUCCUGAUGUUGUUGCAGGUACGUUAUAAGUCUUUCAUCUUCAUGUGUAUGCUUUAAUAGACCCCAAAGCUUUACUUUCUUUUGUGACUCCUUACAUAACAAUAAAUUUUGGUGUCAGUCCCAGAUAUUUAGUUGAACCUUUCUCAUUGUCUACCCCAGUGGGUAAAUAUAUCAUGGCCAGACGAGUAUACAAAAUUUCUCGGUCAUAAUAUCUCAAAAACUUAUCGCAGUUGAUUUUGUGGUAUUAGAGAUAACUAAUUUUUAUGUCAUUCUCGGCAUGGAUUGGCUCCACUCAGGAUAUGCCUCAGUUUACUAUAGAAAUUAAGUCAUUCAAUUUCAGUUUUCCAAUGAACCAAUUAUUGAAUGGAGGGGUAGUACUUCAGUACUUAAGGGUCAGAUUAUUUUUAAUCUUAAGGCAAGAAAAAUGAUAUCUAAGGGUGCAUGUACCAUCUUGUUCGAGUCAAGGACUCUAGUUUUGAGACUCCAAGCCUUGAGUCAGUUUCAGUAGUAAGGGAAUUUCCAGAUGUGUUCCAUAAAGAUCUUCCAGAGUUCUUCCCGAGAGAAAAAUCGACUUCGAAAUAGAUCUCCUUCCAGAUACCCAACCUAUCUCUAUUUUACCCUACAGAAUGGCUCUAGUCAAUAUUAGGGAAUUGAAAGAAUAGUUAAAAGAUUUCUUAGAUAAGGGUUUCUUAGGCCCAGUAUUUCUCCAUGGGGCGCUCCAGACUUGUUUGUGCAUAAGAAAGAUGGUUCUCUCAGAAUGUGCAUCGAUUAUCGUUAGUUGAACAAAGUCACCAUAAAAAAUAAGUAUCCACUUUCCAGAAUCAAUGACUCAUUCGACCAACUUUAGGGUGCUAGUUAUUUAUCUAAGAUAAACCUUAGAUUCGGUUAUUAUCAGCUUAGAGUCAGAGAAUGUGACAUUUCAAAGACAACUUUCAGAACUCAGUAUGGUCACUUUCAAUUCCUAGUUAUGUCUUUUGGAAUAAUGAAUACCCCUACAACUUUCAUGGACUUGAUGAACAAAGUGUUCAAGCAUAGCUUAGACAUGUUCGUUGUAGUCUUCAUUGAUAUCCUUGUCUAUUCCCAUAGUGAGAAUGAUCAUGCAAACCAUCUGAGAAUUGUAUUGUAGACCCUUAGAGCUCAGAAGUUGUUUGCCAAGUCUAGUGAGCACAAAUUUUUGGCUAAGAUCAGUAGCUUUCCUUGGCCAUAUUAUUUUUGGUGAUGGAAUUAGAGUUGACCCUCAAAAGAUUGAAGUAGUGAGAAACUGGCCUAGACAAUCUCUCCAUCAGAUUUUCAAAGUUUCUUGGGUUUGGCCUACUAUUACAGACAAUUUGUUGAAGAGUUUUCUUCUAAUGCUUCCCCAUGUCUCUAUUGACCUAGAAUAAGUCAAAUUUUAGUGGCCAGAUUCUUUUGAGAAGAGUUUUCAGGAAUUGAAGACUCGUUUCACUUCCUCCCCAGUCUUGAUGUUGCCAGAUAGUUCAGAUGGGUUUGUAGUUCAUUGUGAUACUUCCAAAGUUGGUCUUGGUUGUGUCUUGAUGUAGAGAGGCAAGGUCAUAGCCUACGCCUAUAGACAACUUAAACCCCAUGAGCAAUACCAUACCUAUGAUUUUGAGUUGGCAGCAGUUAUUUUCGCCUUAAAAAUUUGGAGGCACUAUCUUUAUAGGUUUCAUGUUGAUGUCUUCACUGACCAUUAGAGUUUACAGCAAGUGUUCACAUAGAAAAAAUUAAAUCUUUGUCAGAGAAGGUGGCUUGAGUUAUUUAAAGAUUAUGAUAUAAGUGUCUUGUAUCAUCCAGGCAAGGCCAAUGUAGUGGCAGAUGCCCUUUACAGGUUGUCUAUGGGUAGUGUUACUCAUGUUGAGAAGGAUAAUAAAAAGUUAGUUCAGGAGGUUCAUUAGAUUGAUAGAUUAGGUGUUUGGUUGGUUGAUUUAGCUGAAGGUAGUACAUGGGUUCAGAAUGGUUCAGAAUCUUUAUUGGUUGCCGAAGUGAAAGAAAAUUAAGAUAGCGAUUCCAGUUUGGUUAAGUUGAAGAAGGCAGUUAAAGAUCAGAAUGUAGAGGUUUUCUCCCAAGGGGGAGAUGGUGAGCUUCGUUGUUAGGGUAGGUUAUGUGUUCCAUGUGUUGAUGGUUUUAGAUAGUGAAUACUUGUGGAAGAGCAUGGUGUACGAUACAUGAUCCAUCCAGGAACCACUAAGAUGUACCGUGAUUUGCGAAAAAUCUAUUAGUGGAAGUAGGAAGUGGUGAACAUGGAUUUUGUGAUAGGGUUUUCUUGUACGCAUUAUCAGUAUGAGUUGAUUCGGGUGAUUUUUGAUAGAAUGACCAAGUCAGCCUAUUUCUUGCCAGUUCAUACGUGAUAUUCAAUUGAGGAAUAUGCUAGGCUCUAUCUCAAAGAGUUAUUUAAAUUUCAUGGGAUUUCGUUGUCUAUCAUUUCAGGUAGAGGUACUCAGUUUACCUCUCACUUUUAGAAGGCUUUUUAGAAGGGUCUUGGUAUCCAAGUUUAUCUCAGUACAACUUUCAUCCCAGAAAGAUGGUGAGGUAGAGAGGACUAUUUUAGUCCUUAGAAUACAUGUUAAGAGCAUGUGUUAUUGACUUUAAAGGUAGUUAGGAUGACCACUUACCUUUGAUUAAGUUUGCUUACAACAACAGUUAUCACUCCAGUAUUCAGAUAGCUUCAUUUGAGGCUCUCUAUGGUAGGAGAUGUAAAUCUCCCUUUGGUUGGUUUGAAGUAGGCGAGUCUGUAGUGAUAAGGCUAAAUUUAGUGUUUGAGGUGAUAGAGAAGGUUCAGGUUAUUCGGGAGAGGUUGAAGACAACCCAAAGCCGGCAGAAAUCUUAUGUAAAUGUGAGGAAAAGAGAUCUUGAGUUUGAGGUUGAUGAUUUGGUCUAUUUGAAAAUUUUGCCUAUGAAAGGAGUGAAGAGAUAUUUAGCAUGAAGGGGAAACUCAUCCCCUGAUAUGUUAACCGUUAUAGAAUCUUGAACCAUUUUGGAAAGGUAGCUUAUGAGCUAGAGUUGCUUGCAGAUUUGGCAUCAGUGCAUCCAGUGUUUCAUGUUUCUUUGUUAAAGAAGUGUAUUGGUGAUUCAGCUGUAGUUCUUCCUUUAUAAUAUAUGGAUGUUAAGGAUAGCCUUUUCAACAAAUAAGUCCCAGUUGAGAUCCUUGUUCUUCAUGUUCACAAGCUAAGGUAUAAAGAAGUUCCCUUGGUUAAGGUACUUUGGCGGAAUCAAUCUGUUGAGGGAGCUACUUGGGAAGCAGAAGUAGAUAUACAAACCAAGUGCCCUCAUCUUUUCUCCGCAAACUCAGAUUCAUUUUGAGGUAACGACUCUUUCUUAUAUUUACUCUUUUUCGUUCUCAGUAUUAGCUAUGUGACCAUUCCUAUAUCAUUACAUGCAUUCACGAAAUUAGUUCAAUUCAUGUAUCAUAUUUCAGACUCAUUUGUGUAAUCAUGUUCUAAGUCAUGCAUGUUUAGUAUGUGAUCUCAGUUACCUUAGUAUAGUACUCUCAGUCUAACUAGUCUCAUUCGAGGACGAAUGUUCCAAAGGGGGAGAUAUUGUAAUACCUCGUAUUAGUCUUAGCUCGAUUCAGCUUCUAGUUGCAUGCAUAAUGGGCUUAAGGCUUGAAAUUUUUACUAAGUGUUGGGGUCUUAGUCAUUUUAAAUAUCCCUAAACAUUGAGGAUUUUUAUUUUGUUCUUCCCGACCCCGAGACGUUGGUUUUUGAGUUGAUUCAUGUUUAGAAAUGUAAAAGGCAUGUCUCAGAGGAGUUUUGAAUUUUUUGAACAAGGUUUGGGUCAUGUUUGGAUCACAAAACCUAUAGGUCACCGCGAUAAGCCCAUGACAUGGCAUUAGUCUUGAUGUCAUGCCGACCGCAUCAUAAUGAGGGAAAUCAAUAGUUACGAUAAGACCAUAUUGCGGUGAGCUUAUUGCGUCCAGUUAUGAAUUUAAAUAACUGAGGGGCAAUGAAGUCUUUUCCCCCUCAACCCAAUCAUUCAUAUCACGACUUGGGCAAUGCCUUUUUUCUCCGAAUUCCUCUCAAGAAAACCCUCCCCUUUUCCACAAGAACAAAAUUAAGUUUUUUUCCUAAGAAAUCAAGAAUUCAAAAUCCUCAAGUUCAAGAACCUCCAAUAAAGCAUCAAGAUUAGUGUUUUCCUUUCAAGUUAAGAAGCUUAAGGUAUGUGGGGUGUUCAUUCAUGGGUCCCUUUCAUCCAUGGAGCCCAAAACCCCUCUUUUAAAUUAAAGAAUAGAUUUUUCUCUUAUUAUGGAAUUUUGUAUGUUCAAGAUGGAUUAAAUUCAUAUAUUUCCUUAUUAAUUUGACUCUAUUCAUGUCCAAGAAUGAUUCCAUGGGAAGUUAGGUUAUCUUAUUCUUUAAGUUUCAAUUUCCCAUGUCAUAUUCAAGUAAAUUUCAUGGUAACCCCAAUUUAUGAAUUUACCCGUGUAUUCAUGUUGAUUUUUCAUGUUUAACACAUUCCCAUGUUCAAGUUCAUAGUUCUCACAUGUUUGAUGAAAUGUCUAUGUUUUGUGUCUUUGAACCAUGAUUACAUACUACAAUACUUCAAGUUUGAUAUUAUAUUUUCUUUAUAAUCAUUCAGUGCUGGCGGGUUAUGAACACCCGAUAACUAUGUGUUUUACAUGAUGUCCAUUUUCAAGUGACAAGUCAAUCAGACCAUGGUUUUAAUUUCAUAUUUAGAACACCAUGAUCAUGUUAGGCAUUAUCAGUUUGCAUGUUUAUAAUUACUUCAGAAUCUGUAUGCACUGUUACUUUCAAAAUACCAUGACCUAAGCUUAUCAAUUAUCAGUGCAUGCACCAGUUAGCAUUUCAGUGUCUAUCAAUUGGGAGUAAGAAUUAUCACCGAGUGAACUUAGGGAUGGAGGCUCCCCUAUCAAUUGAGGCAGAGUUAUUAGCAGCAAUCCCUAGGUUCCAGAACUACAUCGCCAACAUAAGAUAUGAGGGGUAAUCCGUCAGUUUAGGCUUGACUCCUUGGUCCUUCGGGACAUAAGUUUAAUGAUAACUCCAGUUCAGGUUAUACUCCGAUGGCAAGGAUAGAACAACCCUCCUUAACGUGGGUCUGAUGUUGGACUCCAUGAUAGCUCAAAUGGUUUAUGUUGGUUACAUGAUACUUCCCACAGUUUUCGUCAGUGUUUCAACAUAUCUUAGUUCAGGUUUCCUUGACCAAGUGUACAGAUCAUAUUUACAGUUAUUCAAUUAUAGAAAUUUUAGUCUGUCAGUUUACAGAUUAUUUUAGAAAUAUAUUUAUGCUUGGUCUUGCAUUCUCAGAUAUUAAAUGUUCAUACAUUUAUGUUCAGUUGUCUCAUGCAUAUCAAUCAAUACUUAUCUCCAGUACUUUCAAAGUACUGAUCGCAUACUUUUUUUUGUGCUAUGUUGUCUUAUAACAUAGGUUCGCAUGUUAGUUUCCCAACCAUUCCUAGACAGCUCAGCAUAACUCAGCACUAUUAGUGGUGAGUCCUUAUCCAUCAAGGGCAUGAUUUAUUAAUCUCAGUUACUUUAGUAUUUUCUUAUGUUUCGACAGUCGGAGUUAGUUGGGGGCUUGUCCCAUCAACUCCUUAGUUAGUUUAAAGCCUUUUAGACAAUAAGUUAGGUAGUCAGUCAGUCAGUUCAGUAUUAUCAAUUGUUACAGACAUUUCAGACUUGUCAUUUACAUAUAUGCAGUAUUCAGAUGUUCAGUAUUUUAUCAGCUUAUCUUCCGUAUAUGUUAUAUCAGUGCCAUUUUAUUCACUGCUCACAGCAGGUACCAGCUCAUGGGAUAGGUUGUGAUCUCUUGUGACCGUAAGCACUGUUUUCGUGAGAAGGGGGUAGCCUCAGGUCAUGACACUAUUGUUGUAAGCAAACUCUACAAGAGGUAAGUGCUCAACCUAACUACCACCAUAGUCAAUCAGGAAAGCACGAAGCAUAUCCUCUAAUGUCUGAAUGGUCCUUUCUGCUUGCCCAUCCGGCUGCGGGUGGAAAGCUAUACUCAGACUAACCUCAGUCCCAAACACUUUCUGAAACAACCGCUAAAACUGAGAUAAUAACUGUGUACCACGAUCUAAGAUGAUAAAAACAGGUACCCCAUGCAACUUCACAAUCUCAUAGAGAUACAACCUUGCAUAAUUCUCAGAUGAGUGAGUUCGUCAUUCUAUCCAUGAUGACCUAAAUCAAAUCAAAUUGAUUUUGUGACUAAAGAAGACUGAUAACGAAAUCCAUUUUGAUCACUUCUUACUUCUACUCUGGUAACUCAAUCUCUUGACACAAAUCUCCGGGCCUCAUGUGCUCAACCUUCACUUAUUAGCACACCAUGUAUUUGGCCACAAAAUUAACCACAUCCCUCUUCAUAUUGUUCCACUAAUACAUCUCCUUAAGGUCAUGAUACAUUUUUAUCAAACCAGGAUGAAAAACAUAGAGUGACUCAUGCGCUUCAGCCAAGAUCCUUUCUUGCAAACCAUCGAUGUCAAGAACACAUAAUCUCCCUUGGUACCGCAAAGUACCAUCACCACUAAUCUCAAAGGCCAUCACCUUCUGCCCACCAACAUCAUCCUUGAUCCUCAUCAAAACUAGAUCUAACACUUCUCCUUAAUUUCAGAACCAAUAGUUGUCUGUGCCAUUUUCUGAACGAACGCAGCACAAUCCUUAGAGUCCAAGAGACGAACUUCAAGGUUGGACAAAUGGUGAAUUUCCUUCACCAACUCCCGUUUUUCCUUAUCUACAUGAGCUAGACUCUUUAUGGAUAACCUGCUAAGAGCAUCAUCAACCAUAUUAGCUUUACCUGGAUGGUAGUAAAGACUCAUGUCAUAAUCUUGAGCAGCUCAAGCCAUCUCCUUUGCCUGAUGUUAAGCUCUUUCUGAGUAAACACAUACUGCUGGAUCUUAUGAUUAGAAAAGAUAUCCACAUGCACUCCAUACAAAUAGUGAUGCCAAAUUUUCAAUGCAAAACCAUAGCUAAUAAUUCUAAGUUAUGAAUCGGAUAAUUCCUCUUAUGCACCUUCAAUUGUUUAGAAACAUAAGCUAUCACCUUACCAUAUUGUAUCAAAACGCAACCAAGACCCAUACGGCACACAUCACAGUAGACCACAAACCCAUCAGUGCCUUCAGGCAAAGCUAAAACCAAAGCCAAAGUUAGCUUAUCCUCCAACUUCUCGAAACUACCCUCACAAGCUUCAGACCACAAGAACUUUACCUUCUUCUGAGUCAAUUUAGUAAAUGGGGCAGCUAUAGUCAAAAAACUAUCCACAAACCUUCUAUAGUAUAUGACCAAAUCCAAAAAGCUUCAAACGUUGGUUGGAGUCGUGGGUCUAGGCCACUUCUUUACCACUGUAACUUUUUACAGAUCCACCAUGAUUCCUUCACUAGAAUGAUAUGACCCAGAAAAAUGGUAGCGUUCAACUAGAACUCACAUUUCGAGAAUUGGCAUGAUCUACCUCACUCUUAGAAUACACCAAAAAUAUAAUCUAUGAACACAAUGAUGAACAAGUACAGAAACUGACGGAAGACUAAAAACAUGAAUGUCGUAUGGGUAUUGGUCAAACCAAAUGACAUCACCAAGAACUCAAAAUGUUCAUACUGGGUUCGAAAGGCAAUCUUAGGGAUAUCCAUCACCCUAAUCUUUACCAUGGAAGAGGAUACUUAUUAUUUACCAUCACCUUAUUCAACUAUCAGUAAUCAAUGUACAUCUGAAGGAAACCAUCCUUAUUAAACGCGAAAAACAAAGGUGCACCCUACGAGGACACACUAGGACGAAUGAAACCCUUACAUAAAAAAAUCCUUGAGUUGCUUUUUAAGCUUUUUCAACUCAUUUGAAGCUAUUCUAUUUGAGAAAAUAAAAAUUGGACGAGUAUCCAGAACAAGAUCAAUCCCAAACUCAAUCUCCCUUUCAGGAGGAACACCAGGAAGGUCAUCUGGGAAGACCUUAAGAAAUUCAUUCACCAUAGGGACAAAAUGCAAAGUAGGACCCUCCGAGUUAGAAUCUUUAGCUCGGACUAGAUGAUAGAGACACUCCUUGGAGAUUAAUCUCUGAGCUCUAAUAUACGAUAUAAACUUUCCCUUAGGAGCUAGGGAACCACCCUCCUACCCAAUAUCUGGCUCAUUAGGGAACUUAAAAUCGACCAUAUGGGUCUGAAAGUCUAGAGAUGCAUAUCACAAGUGCAACCAAUCCAUCCCCAGUAUGACAUCAAAAUACACUAUAUCUAAUUCAAAAAGAUCCACUAAAUUUUUUUUACUACCAACAGAUGACACACACACCCUAUAGACUCUUUUAGCAAUCACAGAGUCACCUAUCAGGGUAGAAAUGGAAAAGGGGUCCGAAACACACUCCGAAAUAAAAUCAAAAUGCACAGCCACAAAUGGGGUCACAUAAGAAAGAGUGGACCCUAGAUCGAGUAAAAAGUACACAUCACGGGAAAAGAAGUUUCAAUAUAUCAGUCACAAUAUUAGGUGAUACCUCAGACUCCUAUCUGGUAGUGAGAGCAUAAAAAUGGUUUCGAUCAGUGCCGGAACUAGAUGCUGCACCCUUUGGUGCCAGAGCUGAAGAAGUGACAACUGGAACCUUGUUUGCCCUAGAGGAAACCUUACCAACAGGAUAGUUUCUAAGCAUGUGCCCUGGCUAGAUACAAUUGAAGCACUUGUCCCUUCCUUCAUCAUAGAAACCCCGAUGCAGCCAACCACAAAAUCUGCAAGGAGGAUAUGAUAGAGCUGACGAAUCCCCACUAGCCUAAGAAUGGGCACCUUGUUCCCUAAAGUUGUCGCCGCUAUAGAAAUGCCUAACACUCGACAGCUUUGGGUAGGGAGCACUAGUCAUCGAGUAAGACCCUAAAUUGCCACUUUUCUUCUUGGGACACUUACUACUAUCCUUGCCACUCUGUUGUUGGCUACCACCCUACUAAGAGAACCUAAACUUCUUGCCCUGCCUCUCCCCUAUCUCAGUCUACUUUUUUUUCCUCUACCUACUAUAUAUAUACCACCAAUCGAGAGAUACCUAUAUCCAUGAUCAACAAGGCUACCUUACUUUCCAAAAUCAAGUGUCCAGAAAAACCGAAAGCAAAUUUCCUCAUCCUUGCCCUCAUACCAGAAACCAACUUCAGAGUAUACCGCGAUAACUGGUAAAACUUCAAGGUAUACUCCUUGAAUGAUAUCUUACCCUGCUUUAGAUUAAUAAACUUUUCUACUUUUGAUUCCCUCAAAUCCUAAGGAAAGAAGUGAUCUAGAAAAACAUUAGAAAAAUCCGCCCAUAGAGAUGACUCAACACCGCCAUCCCUUGACUAAUCCCUUUCCACGUAACUUUGGUAUGCCACAUCCUUUAGUUGGUAGGCGGCAAACUCCAUGACCUUUACAUUUAUAGCAUGCAUAACACAAAAAAUAUUUUCCAUUUCAUCUUGAAAACCCUGAGGAACCUCCUCCACCAUAACACCAGUAAAGGUCAGAGGAUUCAACCUCAUAAACUGGUCAACCCUUGUGGCCUCAGAAGAUGGAGUAACAGAAAUGCCACGCUAAGACUGAGUAGCUACCAACUAUGCCAACAUGUGACUUAAAUAAUGAAACUCGAUGUUCAUCACUUUAGGCUGAGAAGUUUGAGAUAGACUAGAGGGAACUGGUGGAACUCCAAGAUAAUCAGGAACCGGACCCCUAGAUCGGGUAUAGAUCCUAUAAGUAGAGCGUGUCCCAUAAACAUUGUCCCCAGUAGGAUGGAGGAGUUUUCAUGAACUUCAAAUCAUCGAGGCAUGAUCUAAAAAGAGAACAAAUAUGAAUUAGAGAAAAAUUCAGGACUCAAACUCUACAUCUUGAGAAUAUAACAUAAGAAAAAGAAACAUUCCUAAAUGACUUUUAGCCUCUCCCUUAUGAGUGUGACAUGUUACACACCCUUAAGAGAGACUUUACUCGACACGACUUUGUGGACUCCCAAUUGACCAUGAACUAAAGGCUUUGAUAAAAAUCUGACAUGACCCAAACCAGGGCCUAGUCUUAUCAGGUGUCUCAAGCCCAUCCAAGACCAGAGACCACCCCUAAUACCCAACCAUAACCAUCCCGCACCCUAGGCUAGAUGAAUCCCAAACUUAUAACAAGAUGGAACAAUUAUUAAUGAAGAACAUUAAAGAAAGUUCAUAACCAUAACCAACCAAGUAUCCAACCAAACAUCCAAUCAGUGUAAACCCCAAUACCAAUACCAAUGCUAAGGUUGACACAAAUACUGACACCGCCCAUGCCCAUAGUAGUCACAUAAAUCCUCUAAUUGAAAAUAAAGAAUAUACGAUUGGGGCAUGCCACCGAUCAUAGCCAAAACCAUAGUUCAAGAAACAAAAAUAUUGAAAAGAAGUCCAUAUUAUGAAAUAAAGCCUUUCAGAGUAUAGAAGCUUACCAUUUCAGUCUGACACAUAGCUAUUCUCGAAUCCAAUCACUGACCAAGAAGAGUAGUAUUGCCGGUUCCUACAUCGCGUAGGGAUACAUCGCCUGAAGACGGGUUAGUGGGAGAAUGCUAACAUAUACUUAGGAAUAAGGAUAAAAUAAUGCAAACAUUUAAAACUAGGUAAAUAACCAUGUGCAAUCACAUUCAUACAUAUAUAUACACGCACAUAUAUAUACAUACAUAUAUAUAUAUAAAUAUAUAUAUACAUACAUAUAUAUACGUAUAUAUAUAUAAAUAUAUAUAUAUAUAUAUAAAUAUAUAUACAUAUAUAUAUACAUAUAUAUAAACACACACACAUACUCAUACACACACACACACAUAUAUAUAUAUAUUCCAUGCCAAGAAAGGGAGCCAAGUUUAGCAUGCAUUUAAAAUCAUAACCUACGUUGUGUAGCUUGAUCAUCCAAAACCACCCACGGGCUAUAUGGAUCCAGUGUUAGCCCCUGAACAGGCCCUAGUGCGUGUAGCCACACGAACCGAAGAUAUCAUAGGGACCAAGGAUUCCCGUGUAACCUUCACCCUCUAUGAGUACAUAUAUACAAGUAUAACUUAGGGGAUUCCCAUGUUCCCCACAAGUAUAUGGUCACCAUAACCAACCCUCAUAUUGAAAAACAUGAGUUUCCAGUGUCCGUCCAUCGGACUCACACCUUCACGGUUUGCUAUCACAACCCGCCAUUAUUGGACCAAUUAAAACCUUUAGCACAUAAUCAAAACACCAAUUCUACAAGUUAAUUACCAAGUCAUUGUGGAGUGGUAUCAUCAUACCAACUAUAGCUUGCAAGGAAUGUCAUUAUCCAACACUUAGGGGCUUAUCAUGUACCCCACAUGAUUUUCAGUUAAACCAAACCAUGGCCACCAAGGACUUUACAAAUCAUUUAAUUCAAUCAAAACAAUUUAGGUUCCAUUACCAUAUUAUACAAUGUGAGGUUUUCAAUAAAAGUCAAACUAUGUGACAAAACCAUUCUCGUAGGCAUUUUAACAAAUAUGUUGAGGGCAUAUAGUUUCCAAAACAAAAACAAAGUACCAAUUUACCAUUUUCAUGCAAUCACAUGUUCAAACCCCAAUUAUAACAUGAAAACCAUAAGAAAAGCAUAGGAAAACAUUAUCCAACCAAGAACAACCAAUACCCCCAACACAUAUUUCAAAACCCAAAAUGACAUCACAUUUAUGCCAUGAAACCCAUUAAGUAAAACAUGCUUUUAGUUUGAACUAAAAAUAAGGGAGGAGUAACAUGCCUUGUAUACCAAAGAAGAUGAAGAGAAACCACCCUUGAGAGGCUUAAUUGACCACCUUGAGGAAACCUUACCCUUUUUUUGAACCAAGAGCAUGAGAUAGAUUAAAGAGUAUUUUGAUUUAGGAAUAGUAGGUUAAUGAAGUCCCAGGAGUGUUUUUAAGUUGUGGGUUCAAAAGAAAUUAAGAGGGAAAAUAUCCAGAAUAACCCUAACUUAAACCGUAAAAAUUCCUGUAGGUAGGUACAUUUGGACCCCUCACUCGUACCCAUAUCAUACGAGUGGUACCUUCUACUCGUACCUUGAUCAGAAAGUUAGACAUUAUAUUUUGUCCAACGUAUGACUCCUUAGCCUAACUCAUACCCUAAUGAUACGAAUAGUACCUUCAAGUCGUACCUUAAGCAGAAACAUCUAGGCUAAACACUGGACAACAUACAGUUUGGAACCUACCUCUUGAAUCAUAUAUACGAUUCGUAUAGAGUCUUCUCGUACCAAGAAUAGAAAUUGGCCAAUAUCACACCGACCAACAUACAACUAGGGUACCGAGACCCAUAUACACACCAUACGAUUAGUAUAGUGAGUUGUAUGAUCAGUAGAAGGCCCAAAACUCAGGAAAUUUCCAAGGUCUAAAACCCAAGGUGUUUCACCAAUGCUCCGGGAUUAUGGUACCUAGUGACUGCCAAGGGUAUCAUGAUCAUGACCCUUGACACUGCAAUAGAGAUGGCACCAGUUGGCAGUUGAGACUUGGAAAUUUCCCAUGUCUCCACCAAUCCCUUGGGAUUUAUUCGGAAUCCUAUAUAUGAAAAAAACUAUGUAACCAUACCAAAUUUGAUAUUCUGGACUCAAUGGCACAAUCAAAAUUUGCAUCUGGGCUUGUUUCUAUAAAAUUUGGGUUUCACACCCAAUUUUCAAUUUCUUAACUAUCUGUCCAAUAAGUCGAAAUGAGCUCGAGUGCCUCGGGACUCAAACUAAGAGUCUAACUAGCCUAAAAUAGAUAUUCUAGAGAUGCUGGUGCAUUUAGAAUUUGCAUUCAAGGUCAUUUAAUUAAAGUUUUUUCUUGGUGGCUAUUUGGAACUAGUGAAGACUUCAAAAGAGGAAAUUGGCUCUAUAAAAUAAACCAACUGCUCGGUAACCAAACUGUUAGUUCCAAAAAGUCAUAAAUGACUUGAGACAACUAUAGAAAAGCUCUAACGGUAAAAAUAAGCAGAAAUAUAGAAAAUAACCUGAAGGGUCAUCACACAAAAAUAGGUAUUCAGUGAUUUUCUGAAAGAGAUAGAGAUACUAAAUUUUUUCAUAGUAGAGCAAAUGGUAGAAGCAAGAUAUUAUCAAUUAAUAGAAUUACCAAGGAUGAUGGGCAAUGGGCAAAAGGGUUUGAGCAGGUUUUAGCAGAAGCUAUAUCAUUCUUUCAGAGGCAGUUCACUGGAAUACAGACUAUAGAGAAGCUAUCAUUGCUGAAUUUUAUUCCAAAGUUUGUCACAAAGAAUAUGAAUAAUGCUUUAAACACCUAUCCUACUAAGGAGAAGGUGAGAAGAGUUGUAUUUGAAUUGAAUGGAGAAAGUGCUAGUGGGAAUGAUGAAUUCACAUGUCAUUUUUAUCAGAGUUGUUGGGAGAUAGUUGGGGAUGACAUUAUUGAAAUAGUGGCUACCUUUUUUGAUGAAAAUAAUCUACCCAAAUCAAUCACUCAAACUAAUCUUGUUUACUGCCUAAAAGGAUAUAAUUCAAUAUUUUUUAGAUAUGAGACUAAUUAGUUUGAAUAAUUUCCUGAACAAGGUGAUUUCUAGAGUGAUUCAUGACAGGAUUAUGGACUUUCUUCCUAGUUUAAUUUCUAUAAAUCAGUCAAAAUUUAUUAAAGGGAGGAAUAUCAAGGAAAAUAUUUUAUUGGCAUAAGAAAUUAUUUCGGAUAUAAGAAAAAAAGGUAAAGCCAUCCAAUGUUGUGAUUAAACUGGAUAGGACAAGAGCUUAUGACAAAGUUGAUUGGAAUUUUUUGAUGAAAGUUUUAGAGAGGAUGGAGUUUGAAAACCUUGUAGUUGAUAAGAUCUGCAGAAUGGUGUUUAAUAAUUAGUACUUUAUACUCAUUAAUGGUUAGACCUAUGAAUUUUUUCAUUCUUCCAAAGGUGUCUAACAGGGAGAUCCUCUUUCUUUGACUUUGUUUAUUUUGUCUGCUGAAGUCUUAUCGAGAGCACUGAAUGUAUUAUUUGAUAAUAGUGAAUUUAAGAGUUUUGGAUUUCCAAAGUGGAGUGAAAAUAUUAAUCAUUUAGCCUAUAUAGAUGAUACUAUUUUAUUUGCAUUAACCAACAAAAGAUCAUUACAACUUAUUAUGAAGACUUUGAAGGAUUAUGAAAAGCAAUUCGGACUGAAAAUUAAAGAGAAAAGUGCUUUUUAUGUUUUUCACAAGACUUCAAAUGUUGUGAUCCAAGAAGUGGAGAAUUUUAUUGGAUUUUAUGGAGGCAAGUUUCCAUUGAUAUAUUUAGGAUUCCCAAUUGGUCAUGCAAGGAAAAUAAAGGGACAUUUUUCAGAAUUGAUAAAGAAAGUGCACAAUAAAUUACAAGCUUGGAAGGGGAAGAUGUGACAUUUUUCAGAAUUAAUAAAGAAAGUGCACAAUAAAUUACAAGCUUGGAAGGGGAAGAUGCUAUCCUUAAGUGGUAAGGAAGUCUUAAUCAAUAAUAUUUUGAGUAGUAUUUCAAUAUAUCUUCUCAUAGCUAUCCAUCCUCCUAAAUAUGUCAUAAAAUAUUUGCAUAAAAUCUUUGCUAGAUUUCCUUAGAAUUUUAAGGAAAGUGAGAGGAACAAGCAUUGGGUAAUAUGAAUUGGCAUUUAUAUUCCAAGGGAGGAAAGAGGGUUAGGUUUUAGGUCUCUAUUUGAUAUAUCAAAAGGUCUUUUGCAAAAUUGUGAUGGGUGUUCAGAACUCAGAAAUUCAUGUGGAACAAAUAUUAUAAGAGACCGGGGCCGCAAAGAGUGAAAUAGAGAGGGGUUUACAAACAUGAAAGUUUAUGCUAGAGACAAGAAAUAAUAUUGAUUAAGAGAUAUGGUGGGAGACAAAAUGUAGAUAUUCUAAUAUCUGAUAUGAUAACUGGACUUAGCUUGAAGCACUGCAUUACUAUUCACCAGUGUAUAACCUAAAUAACCACCAUGUAGAAGAUGUCAGUCAAUUACUGAAACAAGUAACAUGGAAUUUUGAGUUGUUGAAUUAGUUGUUCGAAGAGAAAGUUUGUAAUCAUAUUAAGGAGAAUUUAUUGGUUGAAUAGUAUAAUACAGAAUGGGAUAGACUAUGGUGGAUGCUUAAUAGUUCUGGAAAAUUUACAGUAAAAUUAUCUUGGGAAAUUACAAUACAAAGGGAAGAGGUUCAGGAUAGUUUUAGACUUCUGUGGGUGAAGGGUAACCUUUUUCAGUUGGAGAGUUUGGAAGGAGAGGAUUCUUGUUGGAGAAGUACUUAUGAAAAUAAAAAUGAGAGAAGAGGUGACAUGUUAUAGUUGUGCAAAUGGAGUAACAAAGACAAUUGAACAUUUAUUCAUUAAGUGCUCAACAACUAGCAAGAUAUGGAUUUAAGUUUUGCUGCUACAACUGAAAUUUCUUGCCCUUUUUUUAACAAUUUAACGAAACUAUUUUUAGGUGGUAGAAUGCUGAAGUUAACCCAAAGCUUAAGCUUAUUUUUAAAGAAGUUCCAUGACCAUUUUGUGGCAGAUUUGGAAGAGAAGGAACUCAAUUGUACAUGGAAGGAAAAUAUCUGAGUAUAAAGUGGAAAUGUAUAUUAAUAGGAAUAUUUUUCUUUUGGAUAAAUACAAAUACCUUGGUUAGUCAAUAUGCCAUCUACUUGGCCUGAAAUGGUUAAAUUUUUGGAAGAUUACACUCCCAAUAUUAGGAGUAAAAUAGUAGUUUGGAAGCCUCUAAGGUUGGAAUCUUACAAAUGUAACUCUGCUGGGACUUCAAAAGGGAAUCUUGGCCUGUGUUCUGGGUUAUUUUAUGUUAUAAAUGGAGAGUGAGAAUUUGUUUAUACAGAUCAAUAAUUCUGGAUUGUUCUAAUUUGUCAGCUGAAGUGAAGGAAUUAAGGCUAGGACUAGAGUACUCUAUUAAUCAAAGCCUACUGCCUCUGGUAUUAGUGACCGACUCUUUAUCUCUAAAGCAGAUAUUGGAUGAAAAAUGAGAAAUACCUUGGUGCAUUUUUUGGAGAAUUAAAGGUCUAAUAAGAAAUGCAAAUGUGAUGGUUGAGCACAUAUGCAGAGAAGGUAAUAAAUUAGCGAAUUUUUUUAGCUAUUCAUAUGUUUUAUUUUGCAAGUACACAAAGACUCAUAUAUAAUUCAGUACAUGAAUUAUCAAUGGAAGAAAGAAGGAUAAUUUAAAUGGAAAGGAAUCUUACCCCUAAUUUUAGAAUCAGAAAAUAUCAAAAUGGUGGACAUAUAACAUAGGUAUCAGUAAUGACAACAAGAGCAAUAAAUGCAAUACAAGUCAUGAAUGCAACAAGGCAAGAAAUAAAUGGAAAAUACAUUCAUGGAAUCAUAAUGGAGGAAAGAAAGAGAGUUAUAAAUUUAAUUGGAUGAUGAAAUUGUGGGUCUUGAGUCUUAAGCAGUGGUAUUAGCCUUUAUGUAGGCUUAAUUUGCUGAGAAACAAGGAAUAUAAGGAAAUUAUUUGUUUAAAAUGUCCGAAGAAGAUUAACAUGAAGGUGAAAUAAAUAAAUAAAUAAAUAACUGAAAUUGAUUGAUAAAUCGAACACACUGGUCCAAAGUUGUAAGCAAAAGAAUGGAUAACUGAGUAGAUAGAGAUUCACAAGUGGUUAAGAGGAAAACAAAAAUCCCACAAAAAAAUCAGCGUUUCUCACCAGAUCUAUCCACCUAGAGCCAAAGAAAUCUUUUUUGAGGUUGUUUUCAUGAAAUUCGUGAGAAUUUUGAAUGUCUGAUGUGUAAACUCCUUAAGCUCGAUGGUGUAUGGAUUUAGGAUUGGAGACAUAUUGAUGGGAAUGGGGUGAUUCUUUUCUCAGCUUCGUUUUAGAUCCACUCGGAGUGCUGCCAUUAGAGUGCGAUCAAAGCAGCUCAAUGGAGUGGAAGAUGAAGAGUAUGCUACCCCUUUUUGGGUUUCUAGGCUCUCCGUGAUAGAGUAGAGUAGAUUUUUUGAUUUUUUUUUC